GGUCCUAUGGUCUAGUCUGGAAUGACGCGGGACUUCGGAUCCCGAGGCCGGGGGUUCAAAUCCCCCUAGGUCCG
rfam:Methanobrevibacter sp. 87.7 contig43, whole genome shotgun sequence.